rnacentral:tRNA from 1 species
AUCUAAAUAGUUUAUUUAAAAUAUUAACUUGUGGCGUUAAUGAAGCAUUUUUUACGCUUUAGAUA